UACGAAGGUGGCUAGCGUUGCUCGGAAUCACUGGGCGUAAAGCGCACGUAGGCGGAUUGCUAAGUCAGGGGUGAAAUCCUGGAGCUCAACUCCAGAACUGCCUUUGAUACUGGCGAUCUUGAGUCCGGGAGAGGUGAGUGGAACUGCGAGUGUAGAGGUGAAAUUCGUAGAUAUUCGCAAGAACACCAGUGGCGAAGGCGGCUCACUGGCCCGGUACUGACGCUGAGGUGCGAAAGCGUGGGGAGCAAACAGG
rnacentral:rRNA from 1 species